AACACGGGGCAGACUCAGCUCCACCCGCCUUCCCGCGGGCCACACCCAGCUCCUGACGGGAACGGGCCACCGGGAGCCCAACAGCCCGGCGGGUUAAGAGCCCAGAUCAAAGACUUGGUAAAAGAGGAUCUCUAUCUGCAUCCUACAAUCUACAUUGGCCAAACUUGAAGCCAUAAACUUGGAGCCCUGCUGGGUAGAAAUGACCAAAUUACCCAAGCUUAAACCAACAUAAGAGGAGAGUGAGAAACAGCAGCAUGAUCAGGAGCUAAGAUUGGAGCCACAGGUGGCAAGAGGCGUUGUAGGUGACAUCUCUUCAGCUAUCAUUCUUCAAAACAAUGUUUUCCCAUUAUAGAGGAUUCCAAGGCAGGUACCAAGAAAAAUUUAUGUGCUUGAAAGGAUUUUUACCCAUGGCCAGGGAGAAGACCACCUAUACCCCCGCUGAUUAAAAGUCAAUGGAAAACAA